GACGAACGCUGGCGGCGUGCCUAAUACAUGCAAGUAGAACGCUGAAGGAGGAGCUUGCUCUUCUGGAUGAGUUGCGAACGGGUGAGUAACGCGUAGGUAACCUGCCUGGUAGCGGGGGAUAACUAUUGGAAACGAUAGCUAAUACCGCAUAACAGUAGAUGUUGCAUGACAUUUGCUUAAAAGGUGCAAUUGCACCACUACCAGAUGGACCUGCGUUGUAUUAGCUAGUUGGUGGGGUAACGGCUCACCAAGGCGACGAUACAUAGCCGACCGGAGAGGGGGAUCGGCCGCACUGGGACUGUGACACGCCCCAGACUCCUACGGGAGGCAGCAGUAGGGAUUCUGCGGCAAGGGGCGGAAGUCUGACCGCGCAACGCCGCGUGAGUGAAGAAGGUCUUCGGAUCGUAAAGCUCUGUUGUAAGAGAAGAACGAGUGUGAGAGUGGAAAGUUCACACUGUGACGGUAUCUUAUCAGAAAGGGACGGCUAACUACGUG
rnacentral:rRNA from 1 species